ACACUCCCCUUUCCUUCAGGUGUGUAGCAUAAAUCAUUGCGGUGGUAGCUAGUUAGCAAAGACGCCGUGUUUUUGAUGCUGUCGAGUGUAGCGUGGGCACACCGCUCUCUCUGUCCCUCUGUUUGUGGUUGAGCCAUCGUACAGGAAAGGUAGGCGUCCUUCUCGGUUGGCUUAUUGCUCUUUUUGGUGCAUUGUAAUGUACUUAGUUGUUGGUUACUGACACCAUUUAACUUAAUUGUAGCCCUGUCCAUCGGCGGCUGGCGUGGGGUCGGCUGCUGUUCUGGGAUGGUGUGCUGAGCUGGGCAAACUCAAGUGUCGCUGGUGAUGUUCUUCCACUUUGUGUCCUGUGUGGUUGGCUGCUUGCAUGCCGCUUCGAGAGAACCAGAGGAGGAGAUGGUGCCUUCGACUACACUGAUGCAGUGUCACUAGAGAAGGGGGGCAUCACUGUUCUUUUCCCAACCUUUUGUUUUGUUUUGUCCUAUUGUGUGAGUGAUUCAUCCUGUGCAACCUUUUCACUUUGACGUCCGAGACGA